UACGUAGGGUGCGAGCGUUGUCCGGAAUUACUGGGCGUAAAGAGCUCGUAGGUGGUUUGUCGCGUUGUCCGUGAAAACUCACAGCUCAACUGUGGGCGUGCGGGCGAUACGGGCAGACUGGAGUACUGCAGGGGGAGACUGGAAUUCCUGGUGUAGCGGUGGAAUGCGCAGAUAUCAGGAGGAACACCGGUGGCGAAGGCGGGUCUCUGGGCAGUAACUGACGCUGAGGAGCGAAAGCGUGGGGAGCGAACAGG
rnacentral:rRNA from 1 species